GAUCCUGGCUCAGAUUGAACGCUGGCGGCAGGCCUAACACAUGCAAGUCGAACGGUAACAGAAAGCAGCUUGCUGCUUUGCUGACGAGUGGCGGACGGGUGAGUAAUGUCUGGGAAACUGCCUGAUGGAGGGGGGAUAACUACUGGAAACGGUAGCUAAUACCGCAUAACGUCGCAAGACCAAAGAGGGGGGACCUUAGGGCCUCUUGCCAUCGGAUGUGCCCAGAUGGGAUUAGCUAGUAGGG
rnacentral:rRNA from 1 species